GGGGAAUAUUGGACAAUGGGCGAAAGCCUGAUCCAGCCAUGCCGCGUGUGUGAAGAAGGUCUUCGGAUUGUAAAGCACUUUAAGUUGGGAGGAAGGGCUGCAAGUUAAUACCUUGUAGUUUUGACGGUACCUGCAGAAGAAGCGCCGGCUAACUACGUGCCAGCAGCCGCGGUAAUACGUAGGGCGCAAGCGUUGUCCGGAAUUAUUGGGCGUAAAGAGCUCGUAGGCGGUUAGUCGCGUCUGCUGUGAAAACUCGAGGCUCAACCUCGGGCUUGCAGUGGGUACGGGCUGACUAGAGUGCGGUAGGGGUGACUGGAAUUCCUGGUGUAGCGGUGGAAUGCGCAGAUAUCAGGAGGAACACCGAUGGCGAAGGCAGGUCACUGGGCCGCAACUGACGCUGAGGAGCGAAAGCAUGGGGAGCGAACA
rnacentral:rRNA from 1 species